UACGUAGGGGGCAAGCGUUAUCCGGAUUUACUGGGUGUAAAGGGAGCGCAGACGGCGCAGCAAGUCUGAAGUGAAACUCCGGGGCUUAACCCCGGAACUGCUUUGGAAACUGUUGUGCUUGAGUAUCGGAGGGGCAGGCGGAAUUCCCAGUGUAGCGGUGAAAUGCGUAGAUAUUGGGAAGAACACCGGUGGCGAAGGCGGCCUGCUGGACGAUAACUGACGUUGAGGCUCGAAGGCGUGGGGAGCAAAC
rnacentral:rRNA from 1 species